rnacentral:rRNA from 1 species
AGCUCCAAUAGCGUAUAUUAAAGUUGUUGCAGUUAAAAAGCUCGUAGUUGGAUUUCUGUUUUGGGUAUCCGGUCAGUUCAAUGAACUCGUACCAUGGAAACUCGAGACAUGUUUGGCGUAGUUUGUGGGCUGGCAUUAAUUUGUUGGCUCAUUAAACUUGCCUCGUUUACUGUGAAUAAAUUAGAGUGUUUAAAGCAGGCGUUUGCAUUGAAUACAUUAGCAUGGAAUAAUAAGAUACGACUCAGGUGGUCUAUUUUGUUGGUUUGCACACCAGAGUAAUGAUUAAUAGGGACAGUUGGGGGUAUUCAUAUUUCAGCGUCAGAGGUGAAAUUCUUAGAUCGCUGAAAGAUGAGCUUAGGCGAAAGCAUUUACCAUGAAUGUUUUCAUUAAUCAAGAACGA